ACUCCUACGGGAGGCAGCAGUGGGGAAUAUUGCACAAUGGGCGCAAGCCUGAUGCAGCCAUGCCGCGUGUAUGAAGAAGGCCUUCGGGUUGUAAAGUACUUUCAGCAGUGAGGAAGGUGGAUAUGUUAAUAGCAUAUUCUAUUUGUACGUUAGCUGCAGAAGAAGCACCGGCUAACUCCGUGCCAGCAGCCGCGGUAAUACGGAGGGUGCGAGUGUUAAUCGGAAUUACGUGGCGUAAAGCGCAUGCAGGUGGUUUGUUAAGUCAGAUGUGAAAGCCCGGGCUCAACCUCGGAAUUGCAUUUGAAACUGGCAAACUAGAGUACUGUAGAGGGGUAGAAUUUCAGGUGUAGCGUGAAAUGCGUAGAGAU
rnacentral:rRNA from 1 species